rnacentral:rRNA from 1 species
AUGGAUGUGGCAACGGGCGCCAUGGGCACCCUUCUCCCCAAGCUGCUCGAGGUCCUCCGCGAGGAGUACAAGCUGCCGAGUAGCGUCAGGGAAGGUAUUAAGUCUCUUGAGAAAGAGAUGAAGAGCAUGCACCUCGCUCUCUGCAAGGUGGCGGAGGUGCCACGGGAGCGGCUGGACCGGCAGGUCAAGCACUGGGCAGGGGAGGUGAGGGAGCUGUCCUUCGACAUGGAGGAUGUCGUCGACAAGUUCCUGGUGCAUCUCCAUGAGGGUUCUGAGCCUACAGCAAACUCUAAUAAGCUGAAGCGGCUCACAAAGAAGAUGGCUGGCUUGUUCACCAAGGGGAAGGCUCGCCAUGAGAUCGCCGACACGAUCGAGGACAUCAAUAAACAAGUCCAAGAGGUUGCUAAAAGGCGAACAAUGUACAAUGUCGACGGUAUUGUCGCCAGCCUCCCUACCGCGACUUCUAUCGACCCUCGUCUUGGAGCUCUGUACAAGGAAGCGACAGAGCUGGUUGGCAUUGCUGGAAAAAGGGAUGAAGAGCUAAUGAAUUUGCUCUUGGAGGGGGACGACAUGUCCAACAAAAAGUUGAAGAUUGUCUCUGUUGUGGGAUUCGGAGGAUUGGGCAAGACCACUCUUGUGAAGACGGUCUAUGACAAGAUUAAAGGAGAUUUCAGUUGCAGUGCUUUUGUUUCUGUCGGUCGAAAUGCCGAAGCAAGGAAGGUUUUCAUAGACAUCCUUCUUGACCGUAAUAUGAAGAAAAUCCGUGAUGAUCUUGGCAUUAAUGAAAGUCAAUUCAUCUUGUUGAAUGAAAGACAACUCAUCGAGCUACUCCUAGAAGGUCUGGCAGACAAGAGGUACCUCAUCGUAAUUGAUGACAUAUGGGAUAAAACAUUGUGGAGAGAUAUCAACUAUGCAUUCGCUAAUAGUAAUGAUUUUGGCAGUCGACUUAUCACGACUACUCGCAUAGUUAGUGUAUCAAAAUUUUGCUGCUCGUCUGCUAAUGAUUCAGUUUAUCAAAUGAAACCUCUUGGUGAUGAUGAUUCCAAAAUGUUGUUCUUUAAACGUAUAUUUGCUCAAGAGAGUGGAUGUCCUCGUGGGUUCGAUGAAGUGUCUGCAGGUAUAUUGAAAAAAUGUGGUGGUGUGCCAUUGGCCACCAUUACAAUAGCUAGUGUUCUGGCUAGUGGUCAGAAAACAAAUUCACUGGAUGAGUGGCAUGUUUUGCUGGAGUCUAUUGGUCGUGGACUUACUGAAGUACCCCAGUGUAGAUGA